rnacentral:rRNA from 1 species
CCUACGGGAGGCAGCAGUGAGGAAUAUUGGUCAAUGGGCGCGAGCCUGAACCAGCCAAGUAGCGUGAAGGAUGACUGCCCUACGGGUUGUAAACUUCUUUUAUAAAGGAAUAAAGUGAGGCACGUGUGCCUUUUUGUAUGUACUUUAUGAAUAAGGAUCGGCUAACCCCGUGCCAGCAGCCGCGGUAAUACGGAGGAUCAGAGCGUUAUCCGGUUUUAAUGGGUUUAAAGGGAGCGUAGAUGGGUUGUUAAGUCAGUGGUCAAAUUGAGGGGCUAAACCCCUUCCCGCCAUUGAAACUGGCGUUCUUGAGUGGAAGAGAGGUAUGCGGAAUGCGUGGUGUAGCGGUGAAAUGCAUAGAUAUCACGCAGAACCCCGAUUGCGAAGGCAGCAUGCCGGCUUCCGACUGACGCUGAAGCACGAAAGCGUGGGGAUCGAACAGGAUUAGAUACCCGGGUAGUC